CUCAAGAAAGCCUAUUAAGAAAGAUGAUCUACAAGUACUUUUAGAUCAUAUCUUUGGAUCCCACUGAAGUAUCAGCAUUUUUUCUCCAUGUGAUUAAGGCUGCUGUUGCAGCUUAAAAAAAGGCAAGAACAUGUACAGAAUACAUCACAUAUGUGUUUUUUUCUGACACAAAAACAAUACUAAAAGCAUCAAUUGAUGACUUUGUAAACUGAAAAAAUAAGACAAGAGUGCUCACUUAAGAGACGAAUGUUCUCACUUGCAUCCACUACCCUUUAGUGAGUUCUCAAAACACACUGGUCUAGGUAGUGCAGAUACAAAGAAUAAAAACACAGUACAAUCCUGAAUCUGGAAAUGUCAUUAAUAGGAUUGCUAAAUAAAAGAAGGAGCAUAAGGAUACACUGAGAAAACUUGACAUUUUAUUAAAAUUAUAGAACUUCCCUUUCAUCUAUACAAGAAGAAAAUAAAAUGGGCUUUAUUGAUUAUUAUUAUUGUUUGCAGAGAAAUUAAUAAGGUUGCUCCAAAAAUAAAUCCUAUUAAUUUCUGUGGAAACUGUAGAUACAAAAAGCACAGUAGCACUAUUUGAUAAAGCAAAUUUUCAGCAACAAAACAUUACUUUUCAAUGGGAACUAUCCUGUAUUAAGAAGCCCAUCUGUUCCUCAAGUACUUAGAGUAUGCACCAUAUUAAUAUUUUCUUCCAAGUAAAAUUUCUGGACUAUACUUUAUAUAUCAGCAUUUGACAUCUCUUUUACCCACAAUUUGAUGUCAGUAAGAAACAUCCUCUCUUUGUUAGAAGACAUGAAUAGAAAUCAAUGGAGGAGAUCAUCUCAAAUAUGUGAACAUACAGCAUAGAGCUUACAAUCUUCAGAACUGAACCAAACUAAAAUCACAGAAUUAUAGAAUCAUCUGGGUUGGGAAAGGCCUUCAAGAUCAUCAUGUCCAACUAUCAUUCUGACCUACCAGAUCCCAUUACUAACCUGUUUCUCUCAGUGUCAUGUCUAUAUGUCUCUUAAAUACCUCCAGAGAUAGGUAUCCCACCAUUUCCUUGGGUAACCAGCUCAUCCUAAUGCUUAACCACUCUCUCCAUGAGAAAUGCCCAACUUAAAUCUAGUCUAAUGUCCAAAUUAAACCUUUCCCAGUGCAACUUGAGGCUGUUUCCUUGAAUCCAAUCACUUAUCAUUUGAGAAAAGAGACUGACACCUUCCUCGCUGCAGCCUCCUACAGGACGUUGUGAAGAGUGAUUUGGUUUCCACUCGGCCUCCUCCUCUCUAUCAGCUUGAUAUUUUGUGCACAUGCUCAAGCAACUUAACAUUCUUGUAGUGAGAUGCCCAAAACUAGUAAAAAGAAGAAAGUGUAAGACAACAUGCAUUAAUCACAAGAAUAAGUUAUUGCAAGAAAUUGCUUAGUGACCCAGGGAGGUGAUAUAGAACUGAUCAUUAACAGGAAUUAAUGUGGGAAUGGGAUUGAUAUGUACUCGCCCUCCAGAGCUUCAUAAAUGGCAAAUAUAUUUCACAGUCUUUUUUUGUUUGUUUGUUUUUUUAAUCCUGCACAGUGGACUCAGAAGACCACAUGAUAUCUAGUUAUAACUAAAGUUAUCUUGCUUUUACAGCUGCCUUUAAGAUGGCACGUUGCUAAAGAGAAACAUGAACACGUUAUAGGUGGAGAGACAUUAAAAAGCACACCAUUUGCUGAAAUUAUAAAAACAGACUACUGCUUUUAGAACAGAUUAGUGAAAUCCCAGCAAAACUAAAGUUUAUUCAAGGAAAUGUUAUUCCAUUGGUUUAGUUUCACUUUGAAAUGUAAUGUACAAAAGUACUACAAUGUCUAAGGUUCAACAUCUGCCACCAGAUAAAUAAUUCCAAUUCUUGUAGACUUUGUAAUUUAGUUUCAGGCCUAGAAUAAAGUAUCUAUCGUGUAUUUGCUCUGAGAUAGAUGCUCAUUACAGCCAGCAGACAUCUCAUCAGUACAAAUAACAGAUCCUAGCAUUCAUCAAACAUCUGUUCUGCCAUCUAAAUCCCAUCCUAAUCUCACAAGCUUUAUGAAUUAGAUCACCACAGAUUAUACUGAAAUCUGAGGCACUCACACACAGGUAGACAACCAAAAUAUAGACAGCUAUGAACCUGUGUCUGAAUCCCAGCUAUGCUGGAGACAUGAAAAUAUUCUCUGUCAGUUAUACUGAAAAGGUGAGAUUUAUCUCUAUUUAUUGUUACUCAGUUAUGAGGAGCAGAACAGAUGGAGUUUCUUUUGAAGACACAGGCAUUUAAUUUACAUUCCUUGUGAAACUGAGCAGUAACUUUGAGAUAAAGGAAUGAAUGAUGGCAAUAUAGCUUCAAUCUCAUAUUUAUUAAGAAUACAGAUAGUAAGUGCAAAACUGCUGAAUUGGAGAUGAGGAUCUGAAGUGUAUGGUGAUUGACAAUAAGUCAAAUUUCUAUUUCUUUGUGAAACUAUGCUGAUCAUUGUGUUGUUUGUUCAUCUGAUUGCAAAGUGAUGAUUAAAUAUACAUCUUGACU
ensembl:lncRNA